CUUGAGAGAGACAGAAGCAGCUGGGAGAAGGAAGGAAGGAGCUCAGGGUCUAUCAGUUUUUCUGCCUUACAGCUCCCUGCACCUUCAAGCAAAGCCAGAUGUAGCUGCAUCACUAUCUGUGUCAAGCAUCCAGCCUUUCUCUCUCCCAGAGAGUAAACAGUACAGAGGAACUAGCAUAUAAACUUCAGGCAAAAACAGGUGGGUGUAGAUGCAGCUCAGGAUGGAUGAAAAGGCAGCCUGAGGGUGAGUUUAUGUGCAUAGAUGGAGCAAAUUGUAGGUGAACUUGAUGGGUCACAGGCUGGGAUGCUAAGCUGCAAGCACAGGCCACAGCAGACAUGCCUCUUCCUCCCCGCAGAUCUCCUACUGACCACCUCAUUUGUCCAGCCAGACAAAAGUAUAAGUUAUUUAUCAGGCUGGUGGGGAUGUUUUAGUUAUCCUAAAUGUUGUGAGACAGUCAAUCCUUAAUA